AUUGAACGCUGGCGGCAGGCCUAACACAUGCAAGUCGAGCGAGCGGCGGACGGGUGAGUAAUGUAUGGGGACUGCCCGAUAGAGGGGGAUAACUACUGGAAACGGUGGCUAAUACCGCAUACUAGCGGAUAACCCAUAUGGGAUUAGCUAGUAGGUGGGGUAAAGGCUCACCUAGGCGACGAUCUCUAGCUGGUCUGAGAGGAUGGUCAGCCACCCUGGGACUGAGACGCGGCCCAGGCUCCAACGGAUGCAUCAUUGGGUAAUAUUGCACAAUGAGCGCAAGCCUGAUGCAGCCAUGCCGCGUGUAUGAAGAAGUCCUUAGGGUUGUAAAGUACUUUCAGCGGGGAGGCGUUACCCGCUGAAGAAGCACCGGCUAACUCCGUGCCAGCAGCCGCGGUAAUUC
rnacentral:rRNA from 1 species